GUGAGGAAUAUUGGUCAAUGGGCGGAAGCCUGAACCAGCCAAGUAGCGUGCAGGAUGACGGCCCUAUGGGUUGUAAACUGCUUUUAUACGGGGAUAAAGUCAGCCACGUGUGGUUGAUUGCAGGUACCGUAUGAAUAAGGACCGGCUAAUUCCGUGCCAGCAGCCGCGGUAAUACGGAAGGUCCGGGCGUUAUCCGGAUUUAUUGGGUUUAAAGGGAGCGCAGGCCGGAAGCAAAGCGUGCCGUGAAAUGUAGAUGCUCAACAUCUGAAUUGCGGCGCGAACUGGUUUUCUUGAGUGCAUACGAGGUAGGCGGAAUUUGUGGUGUAGCGGUGAAAUGCUUAGAUAUCACGAAGAACUCCGAUUGCGAAGGCAGCCUACCAGGAUGUAACUGACGCUAAAGCUCGAAAGUGCGGGUAUCGAACAGGAUUAGAAACCCGUGUAGUCC
rnacentral:rRNA from 1 species